GGAAUUAAGGUUUAAUUGUUAUUAGAGUGGUAGUUGUAGUAAAGGUGAAAGAGACGAUGGUGGUUUUGGAUUGAUGGUUGUAGUAGUAGCAAAUGAUAGCUAUAGUGGUCAUGAUCUUGAUGGAAACAGUGACAGUAGUGGUCAAGACAGUGAAUAAUUUGGCAAUGGCAAUAUUACUGGAAUAAGCCAGAGUAGUGCUUCAUGGCGGUAGUCAAGUAAAGAAUUUAGCUUUUAACAUAUUAACUAGAACUUCUAUUCCUAAAAUUAUUAAUACCUUGUUUGGUUUAAUUCUAAAACACAAAUUUUGUGGAAUUCAAUUGAA
rnacentral:misc_RNA from 1 species